rnacentral:rRNA from 1 species
CCUACGGGAGGCAGCAGUGGGGAAUAUUGCACAAUGGGGGAAACCCUGAUGCAGCAACGCCGCGUGAGUGAUGACGGCCUUCGGGUUGUAAAGCUCUGUCUUCAGGGACGAUAAUGACGGUACGUGAGGAGGAAGCAACGGAUAAGUACGUGACACUAGCCGCGGUAAUACGUAGGUAGCGGGCGUUAGCCGGAUUUACUGGGCGUAAAGGGAGCGUAGGCGGGCUUUUAAGUGAGAUGUGAAAUACUCGGGCUCAACUUGAGUGCUGCCUUUCAAACUGGAAGUGUAGAGUGCAGGAGAGGAGAAUGGAAUGCCUAGUGGAGCGGUGAAAUGCGUAGAGAUUAGGAAGAACACCAGUGGCGAAGGCGAUUCUCUGGACUGUAACUGACGCUGAGGCUCGAAAGCGUGGGGAGCAAACAGGAUUAGAUACCCGAGUAGUC